UUUUUCUCUGAGGCUGUUGUCUAGACUUUCUAACUGACCUCUGUUUUAAGAUAAUUUUUUGUGCUGUUCUCCACCUCUCUGAGGGCAGAUGGAGAUGCAGAACACCUGCGAGGCUCAACGGCCAUCAUUAGAAGAGGUUUAAGUUAUCAGGGAGAGUUAGAGAUCAGAUAUGAGCAUGACAGCUUCUGGGCAGUUUGAAAGGCAACACCAAGUGUGGGAUGACACAUUUAACCUGGGUGUGGAUUAGGAGGAAAAAAUGCAANGUUUUUUUUUUUUUUUUUUUUUUGAAAUUCUUUGAGAAAUACACAGAGCAGUCAGAUUAGGUCUCGUAAAGUAAGAUGCCCUUCAAUAAAAAGCACUGGACGUUAUAUAGGAUGUGGAAUGUCCCAAAGAGCAAUACUCUGACAGAAAAUUACAUUAGGAAACAGGAUGGAGGAGAGCCCUGUAUCUCUAACACACUAGAUCCUUCACUGUUCCGGCCUUCACUGCCUCGCACCGGCCCUGCGUUCCUCAAGGUACAGUAUCACAAAACUCCUGCGUGCCUGCAUGCUGAGCGUCCUUCCAUCCUGCCAGUGCUUGACUUCUGCUUGCUGAGUCUGUCUCACCUCUUCUGACCCAUCUGCUCCAUUACUGUGAGCCUGUAUAGAACUAAUACUGAUUUGCAUGAGGCCAUUGUUUGGAGACAUGAUGAUCAAGGACUUUUCUGUUUAUUAUUAAUACAAAUGAUUGACAUGCCAUGCAGUUAAAUGAGAGUGAUGUAAUUAAAUGCCAGAUGCUAUUAAUUAACAAAUGUCAGGCCGGUUUCUCAGUCACACCCCUUAUUCCAUGAGACAAACUAAUGACUGUCAAAAUAGCAUUGAUUAGGAAAGGUCAUUUAUCCACUGACAGUGGCUUAUUGCUCCGGGGAUUUAGCAUGCUGCUCUUGUGACCCUUAAAGGAACAGUUCUAACAAGUUCUAACAAAAUGAUUUUUUUUACUCACCCUUAUGUUGUUUCCAACCUGAAUGGCAUUGAACACAAUGGAGAGAUUUUAAAGAAUGUACUAUUUUUCAUGCAAUUACAAUGAUUGGGGGGC
ensembl:lncRNA